UACGAAGGGGGGCUAGCGUUGCUCGGAAUCACUGGGCGUAAAGCGCACGUAGGCGGGCUCUUAAGUCGGUGGUGAAAUCCUGGAGCUCAACUCCAGAACUGCCUUCGAUACUGAGAGUCUCGAGUCCGAGAGAGGUGAGUGGAACUGCGAGUGUAGAGGUGAAAUUCGUAGAUAUUCGCAAGAACACCAGUGGCGAAGGCGGCUCACUGGCUCGGUACUGACGCUGAGGUGCGAAAGCGUGGGGAGCAAACAGGG
rnacentral:rRNA from 1 species